AGAGUUUGAUCCUGGCUCAGGAUGAACGCUAGCGACAGGCUUAACACAUGCAAGUCGAGGGGCAGCACAGGUAGCAAUACCGGGUGGCGACCGGCGCACGGGUGAGUAACGCGUAUGCAACUUGCCUAUCAGAGGGGGAUAACCCGGCGAAAGUCGGACUAAUACCGCAUGAAGCAGGGAUCCCGCAUGGGAAUAUUUGCUAAAGAUUCAUCGCUGAUAGAUAGGCAUGCGUUCCAUUAGGCAGUUGGCGGGGUAACGGCCCACCAAACCGACGAUGGAUAGGGGUUCUGAGAGGAAGGUCCCCCACAUUGGUACUGAGACACGGACCAAACUCCUACGGGAGGCAGCAGUGAGGAAUAUUGGUCAAUGGCCGAGAGGCUGAACCAGCCAAGUCGCGUGAGGGAUGAAGGUUUUAUGGAUCGUAAACCUCUUUUAUAAGGGAAUAAAGUGCGGGACGUGUCCCGUUUUGUAUGUACCUUAUGAAUAAGGAUCGGCUAACUCCGUGCCAGCAGCCGCGGUAAUACGGAGGAUCCGAGCGUUAUCCGGAUUUAUUGGGUUUAAAGGGUGCGUAGGCGGCCUUUUAAGUCAGCGGUGAAAGUCUGUGGCUCAACCAUAGAAUUGCCGUUGAAACUGGGGGGCUUGAGUAUGUUUGAGGCAGGCGGAAUGCGUGGUGUAGCGGUGAAAUGCAUAGAUAUCACGCAGAGCCCCGAUUGCGAAGGCAGCCUGCCAAGCCAUUACUGACGCUGAUGCACGAAAGCGUGGGGAUCAAACAGGAUUAGAUACCCUGGUAGUCCACGCAGUAAACGAUGAUCACUAGCUGUUUGCGAUACACUGUAAGCGGCACAGCGGAAGCGUUAAGUGAUCCACCUGGGGAGUACGCCGGCAACGGUGAAACUCAAAGGAAUUGACGGGGGCCCGCACAAGCGGAGGAACAUGUGGUUUAAUUCGAUGAUACGCGAGGAACCUUACCCGGGUUUGAACGCAUUCGGACCGAGGUGGAAACACCUUUUCUAGCAAUAGCCGUUUGCGAGGUGCUGCAUGGUUGUCGUCAGCUCGUGCCGUGAGGUGUCGGCUUAAGUGCCAUAACGAGCGCAACCCUUGCCACUAGUUACUAACAGGUAAAGCUGAGGACUCUGGUGGGACUGCCAGCGUAAGCUGCGAGGAAGGCGGGGAUGACGUCAAAUCAGCACGGCCCUUACAUCCGGGGCGACACACGUGUUACAAUGGCGUGGACAAAGGGAAGCCACCUGGCGACAGGGAGCGAAUCCCCAAACCACGUCUCAGUUCGGAUCGGAGUCUGCAACCCGACUCCGUGAAGCUGGAUUCGCUAGUAAUCGCGCAUCAGCCAUGGCGCGGUGAAUACGUUCCCGGGCCUUGUACACACCGCCCGUCAAGCCAUGGGAGCCGGGGGUACCUGAAGUCCGUAACCGCGAGGAUCGGCCUAGGGUAAAACUGGUGACUGGGGCUAAGUCGUAACAAGGUA
rnacentral:rRNA from 1 species